CCACCCCACGGCGGCGCACCCACUCCCGACCACCUCCCAGGCUCCCACCCCGUGGCCUCUACGUCUCCCCUUCCUAGUGGCCCCUGAUCCCCUCCACCUUCCUCCCGCGGACAGCACCCCACCGCCGCCGCACCCAACCCAGCUUCCUCGUCCAUCCGCCGGACCAGCCACCUACCAGUGUUGCCCUGGCGCGCACCACCUCCGCCCAUCGCUGUCGCAAUAAGCACCGCGCCGGAGACCUUUGGAUCUUGGCAGCCGCGUCCCAGCCUCCCGCGACCCCCGCAGCCGGAUCUGGCUCCACCUUCUCCCCUCCUCCAUCUGCUUGCCAUAGAGGGGAGCCCCGCCUCAAAGAAAAAGGGAGCUUGUCAGCAACGGGGGACGCAUCGGUUGUGUUUGCGCUGGAGGUGUUGUGCAGUUUGCCGGCACAUUCCCUGGAUGCAUGCGAGGGGAGUCAAACGGGGGCACCGAUGCACCAUGGAAGAGCAGUAGUGGCGCUUUGCAAUUCAGAACAAUGGUUUUAGCAUUUUUGCUUUUGAUUUCGGUGUAUUCAGUGCAACUUGCUCACCGGGUUCCCGAGAGGAGGAUCACGCCAAGACGUUUCAGCAGCACACCCACUUGUAGUUCAGUCGGCGAAGGGUUGAGGGCCACCAGGAGACUGACGGCGAGCCAGCCAUAGCGUCCACUAUUAGUCGGCGAAACAAUUUAUGCAUCAGUGUGGACUUGAAGUUCGUCGGCGAUCCACUAGCGGUUGGAGCAACAAGGGCAUGCAGUCCGCUAUUUCCUUUUUUUGUUUGUCUUUUGACAUGCUCUCGCCGAGGACACAUGGCCUUUUCUUUUGCGGUCAUUCACUUGUACGGCUGAUGCGUUCUCAGAUGGAUGGAUGUUUGUUGCCUUCUCAAAUGGAUGGAUAACUGCAGUUUAGUGGCUGCAAAAA